ACUAACACUGAUAUUGCUAUGUUCAGUUUUUAACUUCCAUUUUGCCAAGUCCAGUUAUCUCGGCAUGAAUCGUUCGUAAGUAGCUUGCCAUGAAUCCACUGACCAAAUAGUUUCUGAAAUCUGAAUUGACUGCAGAGUACGGCGAGGGUCGCGCCGUCUCAACUCUUGGAGAUGUUUACAGCCUCGGCAUACUGUUGCUUGAGAUGUUCACCGGGAUGAGCCCUACUGACGACAUGUUCAAAGGCUCCUUGGACCUUCAUAAGUUCGCCGAGGCCGCUCUCCCCGACAGAGCCUUGAAGGUAGCCGACCCGGCAAUCUGGCUUCAUGAAGAAGCAAAGGGGGAAGACCCGGCCACGGUGAGAAGCAGAAGCGAGAGGUGCUUGGCUUCAGUGGUCGGGCUUGGCGUGUCCUGCUCAAAGCAGCUGCCAAGGGAGCGGACGGCGAUGCGGGAUGCUGCCGCUGAGAUGCGUGCGAUCAGAGAUGCCUUCCUGGUUCAAUGUGCAACAGAGACUUGGCCUGCAGUCGGCACCAGCGGCCUUGGAAGCACAGACACUUGAAUGGUGGACGGAGCUACGGUCUCUUGACGCACCAAGGAGCCACCGGACUAGCUGCUCUGCAACUAACAGGGUGGAGAAAGCGCCCCUUAAUGAAAAGAAAAACAGCCGGUGCAAGGCUUUAUACAAAGAAUGUGACAGCCACUGCGUGUAUCCGAGAGCCUUAUCUAAUCUACCGAGGAUUGUUAUGUAUGGAUGCGUAUAGAUUAUGCACGGACUCCUCCGUCCCAAAAUAAACGCACAUCUUGCUUCUUGAGGAGUCAAACUUCUAAGUUUGACUAAAAUUUAUAAAAAAAAUGUACUACUAUUUAUAAUGUAUAAUAAAUAUCAUUAGAUUGAGCAUUGGGUAUACUUUCUUAAUACAUUUAUUUGAAGAUGUAAAUGUUGAUACUAUUUUUUAUAUUCUUAGUCAAAUUUAAAAAUAUUUGACUCAUCGAGAAGCGAGAUGUGUGUUUAUUUUGGGACGAAAGGAGUACCCGUCACCGGGAUUAGUCAUGAUAUAAGAUUAGUCACGAUAUAAGUAGGGAUUAGCAAGCACCAAAACCCCAUUCACUGCCCAUCGAUCGCUCAAAUAAAAGAAACCAUUGCAUAUGGUGGCGAUGCGCUCGCGGGCCUUUCUCCAACCUUUCUGCUCUCGCGGGUCUUGAACUUGCAUGGAACAGUUUUAGUAAAGCUGCCUCCAACUUUAGGGAGAUUGCCAAGGUUCAUUUACCUGUCCUUAAGUGGCAAUAAGUUAGGAUCGAAUGAUAAGGACGGAUUGGAAUUCAUCACCAUGCUGGCAAACUUCAGCCAGCUUCAUCAACUGGCUUUUGACAAUAAUUCAUUCAUCGGCGAACUUCCUAGCUCAAUUGCAAAUCUAUCGACAACACACCAAUUACUCUAUAUACGAUACAAUUGGAUUUCGGGAUUUAUUCCAUCCAGCAUAGGUAAUUUGCUUGGUCUAGAACUGCUUACGUUGGCAAAUACUUUCAUAUCCGGAAUGAUUGUAGAUAGCAUUGGUCGCCUAGAAGACAUGUCCGUGUUAGGCAUUUACUACGCUAGCUUGUCAGGUAUCAUACCUUCAUCACAAGGAAAGCUUACACAGUUGAAAACUCUCUAUGCGUACGAUAGCAACUUGGAGGGUUCAUUUCCAGCAAGCUGGGGGAACUUAAAGAAUCUUUUUGUUCUUAAUCUCUCAACGAAAGUGCGUAACCCGCUAAAGUUUCAUGUCAAAGCAGAGCAUAAAUCUCUCUCAAAACUGCAAAACUAUCAUAAAGCAGAUCAGUCUGAGGGCUAGCCUAUGCCCUAUCAACGCCUCCCUUCUUGCCCUUUUGGUAAGAUUACCCCAAACUAGAGUCUAUAAUUAAUUAGCUAAGACUAGAGCCACGUAGUUCUUGUGGUUGUACUGUUUUCCUGAGUGGUCGCUCCAUGUUCCAAUUAAGCAUGAUGAUCUUGUAUUAAUAAAAGGUAUAUCAUAAAUAAAACAAGUUUAAUCAUUGAGUUCAUUAAAACCAUCACAAUCCAAGGUAUUGCAACUAAGCAUAUCUACCUUAAAAAAAGGUAAAACCCAGGUUGACAAGGAAUGAUCAUAAAAACUAGGUAAACCUUAAUAGGACCUAUCAAUAUUAAAUGUAGAGCAAUGCAAAAGUGAUUAAAUAUAGUUUUUGGGAUAAAAGUAUAAGGACACACGUGCCUUUCUCCAAAGAAUAGCUGCUCAGAUUAUCUUCCGCUCUUGUUCCUCAAAGCUCUCGAACAAUGUUCCUUCUACUUGCAUCAAUCAUCGGCACAAGCAUACCAAGCAAACAACAAUCACAACUAAGAACAAUACAUCAAUCAUUGGAAAGCUUUAAAAGAGCGUACUAAAGGAUAAGGCUUGAAUCUAAGGUCACGCGAAUGCAAGAAACGCUGGGAACAAAACUAUGGUUGAAAAGACAAAGUUAUCGAGAGAUUUGAAUUAUAAAAGAAAGAGAAAAGCAUAUGUGCUUCAUAUAUUUUAAUAAAACAAUGUAAAGAUAUUUUAGAGAAACAUCCUUAGCAUGUUAUAGUUAUGUAUGAAAAGACAAUGUAGAACUUAGUCAAAUUUUAUUAUAAACAUUCAAGUACAAUUUAUGCAAAUUAAAAAUUUAAUUUGAAAAUAAAGUAUAUGUAAACAUCUAAGCGCAUAGCUUUAUGAUUUAGGUUGAACUAACCAAAUAUAAUUAAAAACACAUUUAUAUUUAUAUUAAAUCAAAUUAACAUAUAAUUAUGAAAACUCGAGAUAUAAAUUAUGUAGCUUUUAUUUAGAAAACAAAUUGAAUAAACAUUUUAAUUAAAGAAGACAUGUUUAACAUGCAUUAAUUAGAUUAAUAUUAAAUUUAUUUUAAAAACAUGCAUGAUGGAAAGAUCGGCACUAACGUGUAAUUUGUGAUUCAGGUUGAACUAACCAAAUAUAAUUCAAAAACACAUUUAUAUUUAUAUUAGUCAAAUUAACAUAUAAUUAUGAAAACCCAAGAUGUAACUUAUGUAGCUUUUAUUUAGAAAACAAAUUGAAUAAACAUUAAUCAAUUUAAGUUUAAUUAUGAACCACCGUGGUGCAUCUCUAAUUCGCUUUUAAUUGAAAGAGUUAUUUAAAUAAGCAUUAAUAACUAAAUUAACAUUUAUUAUGAAAAGCGGUUAUAACACUAAGUAGCUUUUAAUUAAGGAAGACAUGUUUAACAUGCAUUAAUUAGAUUAAUAUUAAAUUUAUUUUAAAACAUGCAUGAUGGAAAGAUCACUACUAACAUGUCCUAAGAAUGGAUAUAAACGGAGCUGUAAUGAGGAGUCCAUGGGUUAAACAAGGUUGCAGGGCCUAAUCGCGAUUAACGGAAGGUUAUUGGGGCUAGCAAGGAAGAUUUGCAAGACACUGGAAUAGAGCUCACCAUUAGGUCAAAGCAUAGGGUUAGAUAUGUUAAAGUGCUCAGGUUAGACUUGGUUGCACGGAUCCAAUCUAAUCAGGGACAUGGAUGAAAAAAAACAAGACACAAGGAAAAACUAACUAUUUGUAGAGCUUUAUAGGGGCCUAUGCGCAAAAGCACCACAGCUCAGCAUCCAUGGUGGACGGGCUCCUGGAUGGCAAAACCCUCGUGUCAGAUUUAUAAGCCUGGUAGUCCACCAAGGGAUUCCCCAAGUGGUUGAUUUGUAGAUGAGGGUGAUUGUGAAACCAAGAACUCGAAGGUGGUCGCGAGAACACGAAGGGACACUUAGACAAGUUCGGACCUUCGGAGAGUAAUACCCUACGUCCUAUAUGCUGGUUUGUAUUGCUUGAGAUUGAUCUAAUUGUUGCGAUACCCUCGGGGGUGCCCUUGGCCGCCUUAUAUAGGCUGACGAUCAAGAGUUAAAAGUCGGUUUGAAUCUAAUCUACUCGGUAGUUACAUGGAAAGUAAUCUGAGUUGGACUACAAUAUGUGUUCCAUGAUAUCUGGGCAGAUUUGAACUAUCUUAUUGCCUUGACUUGCACUCCAAGUAACUUUAUGUCCUCGGCCCGCACGCUCUGAUCGGGCAGGCCCUACUUGUUAGUCCGACCAGUAUCCUGGCCGGUCAGGGCCCAUGGGGUACCCAUAUCCCUUAAGGCCCCAAGCAUUGUGUAGGCAAACAGGAACUUGAUGUCAUCAAAGUGAAACUUGGAAUGAAAUCGGGUGAAGCUGACGAAGAGCCAACGCGUAGAGCGAGGAUGAGUGCCGAGUUGAUGGAUGCUGGCAUCCAGCAGGUCGAAGCGAAGGUUACGGAGGGCGUCGCAAGACGCACUCUGUAGGAGUAGCCCCGGAGCAUUGAAACAAUUAAGAUAAUCAAUACAAUGGUCAAAGAGGAAAAAAUUGUCCCCUGAAGUAGAUCCUUGUGCCCGAACACAAGGAUGGACGCAGCCACGGAGGCCCGCCAACCAGAAGUAGGCACCUAGACUCAAGGACGAGGACUGGUGGGACUGUGGAGCCAUGCCGACCUGAAAUAGGCAUCUAACCCCUGAGGACGAGGACUAGCAGAGCCGCAGAGGCAUGCUAACCUGAAAUAGGUGCCUAGCCCCCGAGGAUGAGGACUGGCGGAGCCAUGAAGGCACGCCGACUUGAAAUAGGUGCCAAGCCCCCAAGGACGAGGACCAGCAGAGCCACGAAGGCACUCUGACCAGAAUUAGGCGUCCAGCCCCCGGGCAUGAGUGCGAGGAUUGGCGGAAGCACAUCGAGUUGCCUCCCUUCCCGGGCUCAGGCAGAGAGGUUGGUCGGGUGACGAGAGGCACACCAAGUCAUCAAUGGUGCCCAGCCGCCGAGCCUAGGAGCCGGACGAGUUGCAAAAGCAUGGCAAGUCACCUCCCGCCCCGAGCCAGAGAGGUCGGCUGGGCGACGGGAGGCACGCCGAGUCAUCUACGGUGCCCAGCCCCCGAGCCUUGGAGCCGGCUGAGCCACAGAAGCACGCCAAGCCGCCUCCCGCCCUGAGCUAGAGAGGUCGUUUGGGUGACAAGAUGCACGCCGAGUCGUCUGCGGCGCCUAGCCCUCGAGCUUGGGAGCCAGACGAGCCACAGAAGCAUGCCAAGUCGCCUCCUGUCCCGUGCUAGAGAGGUCAGCCGGGUGAUGGGAGGCACGUCGAGUAGUUUUUGAGCUAUAAAAGAACAAUACAAUCAUUAUGUAGCAUAAUGUAGAUCAUUUAAUCAUUGAACAACUCGGAAGUUUAAUUCGCUGUAGAAGUAAACUCUUGCGCAUCCUGCUCUUAUAGGCCAAGUAAUUUCCCUAGGUAGUUAUCUUGUUACGUUUAAGCACCUAGCCCUACUGACCACUGUUCACGGAGAGGAUGGUUUAUCUUAGGCUAUAGUGCUGGGGCUGACCCGAUGCUCGCAUAUAGGAACGCGCAGGAUGAGUCAAGGUUUCACGGAUUAAGGCGUGUGCUACCCGAGUACUUUAGCAACCGUUAACAGGGAUGGACAAGUCGCAAAGCAACCGGAACUGUGCGGAAAAGCACCAGCAUGAGUUGGGCACCCAUGGGGUGUAGCCCCCGGCCGCCCGUGUAGUGGACGGAACAAAAGUCACGACAACAUGGAGGAGCCGAGGCUUAUGUAGGUAUAUGGAAGCUGUAAAAUAUUUUAUUGUAAAUAAUACUUAGCUUGAUUCGUGGUCGAGUCAAAGAACCCGCGUGUCAUCUUCGCGUUUAGUCUUAGAAGCCCCUGAGCGUGGUCGGCGGACAGUUGUUGGUGAAGCAAACUAGUCGGGCUCCAUGCCCAACUAAUUCGUGUCGAGUUCGAGUUGUUGGAGUUGUCAGCGGCAGGUUUGUGGUUGCGAUUGUGGUAUGCUGUUGCCAAGUCGAUGUGGCCAUCGGGUCGUGUCCGGCUGGCCGCUACGCUCACAGUACAGCAUGUCUGGGUUGUGCUGCCAAACCAAGGGUGCAUGUACAUCUUUUCGAACCUUGCAAGGAAGCCCUCACGUAUUAAGGAAAUCUAUACCUAAUAUUAAAGCUCCCGCAGCGUGCGCCUAUGCCACGUGUGGUGUGGACGGGUGUGCCGGCUGCGGCUGCGAGCUCCUCACUGCGGCAGGGACCAGGUCGAGCAGCGACAGUGAUGACGAAGGGGAGUAGUCCGCGUCUGCGUGCCAUGCCACCAUCGCCGGGCAAGGUGUGGCAGCGGCGGAGGGGGAGAGUGAGUACAUCGGCGUGCAGCGGCGGCCGUGGGGUAGGUGGGCGGCGGAGAUCCGCGACCCGCACUACGCCGUGCGCAAGUGGCUCGGCACCUUUGACACAGCUAAGGAUGCCACGCGCACCUACAACAUCACCGAUGUCGAGUUUUGAGGCCACUGCACCAAGAUCAACUUCCCCGACAACACGGCCCCCGCGCCCGCACCUUCCUGGGUGCCAAACUCGACAUACCACCACCACGACCACUUGCCGCUGCCGCUGCCCGAGAGCCUACACGAGACCUGCGGGGCGAACGCAUCCUCGUCGAUGGAUGUGGCUCUUGCGGUAGCGGCGUCGGCCGAGCAGCACGGCACGAGGCCGGUGCCGAAGGAGCAGGACAUCUGGGACAGGCUGAACGAGUUCAUGAUGAUGGAUGACGGUAGCUUUUGGUCACCCAUGCUAUGAUCAUCACAUUCUCCUCCAUUCUCCUCUUGUUUUCACUUUCGUUGCUUAGCGGAUAAUGGUGGUCAGCUGGCCUCUGGUCUGUCGUCAAUCGCCAGCCAUCCAUCGCUUUUAUAUGGUUUUGCACUAGCUUUUGGGCUUUGACCACACCCUCCACACCCAUACGAAAUGACUAGGUAGAGUGAUGUUGAUAUACUGCUUGCCGCGCGCUAGGGCGAGCAGCUACUCACUCGGGCUAGAUGCCCUACCCGCCACCUGGACCUAAGAGGUGAAGGAGAGAGGAGGGAGGGGGAAGGAAACAAGGAGCCGAGUGCCUCUUUGCAGUCAACCAAGUAGAGCCAUAUGCCAGCGAAGGCAUGGCGCCAGCGAGGGGGGGGGGCGCAGCGGCAGUCGGUAGGCAACACAAACAGGGGGCGGAGGUCGGGACCUCACAUCCCCCUCUCAAUGAUGUCCAUCCCCUUCAUAUCCAGAACUAAAGCCUCCACAUCUAGCAAUUGGGGGCUCGAUUUUGCACUUGAUUGGAACGAUUUGGAGUGGAUUAUAGAAGGGAAGUGGAUGGAAACGAGAAGAAGAGGAAAACACACUCCUGCUCAUGGCGGCCAGAGGCGCGGUGGCCUAGGUCUCGAAGCAGGAAUGAGGCUAGGCACGGGAAGGACGAGCGUUUGCCUAGGCGACGGUGAGGAUGGCAAGAUGCGUAGCGCCUGGAUGAUGGCGAAGAUAGGGCAUGAUGCGGGUGGCGCCGACGGACGAAGUGGCAUCGACUAGCUAGAUGACGAUGAGUACGGGGGAAAUCGAAUGAAUGGAUAGAGCGGAGGUUGAGCGGUGAUUUUUUUUUAUUUCCAUGUGUGGGUCCCAUGUAAUAAACAGAUGGCAUCAAACCACCCACAAAUAUCUUCUACUACUGUACUGGGAUAACGCAUCAACAUAUGGUGAAGCGAAAUCAACAUAUUAGGAACAAGCAAAUAAUAAUGUGAGAGUAAGUAAGGACUUGUAGCAACGUACAUGUAUUUCUGCUAGUAAGAAAAAAAAUUGUUAGCUGCCGUAGUAAGCACCAAGCAACGUAGGAGAUCUACUGGAUGGAAUAGAUUAAAUAAUAAAGGGAAGGGAGAAUUGUUCCUUUUUUUUGGCAGAUCCGACGUGUCUGCAUGCAACAAGUUGAGGUCGACGUGUUGUGCUAAAUCAACCGGAUCAGACUGGGGCCGGAUCAGGCGAGCUUGGCUGUGGCCGGGAUGAGGCCAAUAAGGGCGUCGCCCUUGACCUUGGCCUCCUGUGCCUCGCGGAUCUUCUACAUCUGGAGCAUCUGCUCCAUGAUGAGCUCGUAGUGGCACUUCUUGUAGGCGUGGCGCUCGGGCUCGCACUUCCAGCGGAGGUAGAACUCGGAGGUGCACGCACUGGUCGUGGUAGGCGAGCGGCACCAAGGCCUCCGCCAUCUCCACCUGCGUGAUGAUCUGGGGCUUCGUGGAGUCGAACUGAAUGCCGGCCAUUGCCGCCGCCUCCAUCUGUCACUUUCUUGCCCUCUCUCUUGCCGGCGAGGUCGUUCCGUUGAUAGAUGGGUGCUGCGGGUUUGGUGCGGCGUGGGUGGGUGGUGUGCAGCAAGGACGUGAGGAACCCUCUCGGAGAGAGAGAUUGCUUACCUACUAGGUAAACGGUGUGAUGAUCCUUUGAUAUAGACCUUGCUCCGCCGGAGUAAAUUCGACAGAUGCCAAGCUGGCGGCGGGCAUUGAGUCGAAGUCCACCGGCAUGCUCCUGAAGUGGAGCUGGAUCGGAUUGGCGAGGAAGUCCUUCAUGCUCUUGGGGAAAACAAUGUCGGGGCGGGAUGCCAUCGAGCUCGCUAGGGAGGAUCUUACAAUCAUCCCUACCUAGCGCGCCAACUGUUGGAUUUAUAAGCCCGGUAGUCCACCAGGGGGUUACCCAAGUAGUUGAUUUGUAGGUGAGGGCAAUUGCAAAAUCAAGAACUCGAAGGUGAUCGCGAAAACACGAAGGGACACGAAGGUUUUAGAUAGGUUCGGGCCUCCGGAGAGUAAUACCCUAUGUCCUGUAUGCUGAUUUGUAUUGCUUGAGAUUGAUAUGAUUGUUGGGAUACCCUCGGGGGUGCCCUUGGCCGCUUUAUAUAGGCUGACGACCAAGAGUUACAAGUCGGUUUGAAUCUAAUCUACUCGGUAGUUACAUGGAAAGUAAUAUGAGUCAGACUACAAUACGCGUUCCAUGAUAUCCAGGCAGAUUUGAAUUGUCUUGUUGCUUUGACGUGCACUCCAAGUAACUUCAUGUCCUCGACCCGCACGCCUUGGUCGGGUCGGCCCUACUUGUCAGGUCUGACCAGUAUCUUGAGGUACCCAUAUCUCUCACCUUGGUGCUCCGGCGAUUAGGGUCAGUGGCGAGGAUGGGGAUUGGAAGAGGAGAUCGAGGGGACUUUAUGGAGAUGCUCACCGGCGACGAGGCGGACGGAUUCUGGCCAGUAUUUGGCUGGCGGUGGAAGAACACGACAGCUGGCUCAAGUCUUCGUGAGUGAUGGUACUCCGGCGGUGGAGCGACGACGACGACUGGUGGCAGAGCUGCUCCUCGAUGUCACGGAGCUCCCUAAGGCUCUAGCUUGCUCCGAUGGUCGACGAGCACAGCGAAUCGGCCAGAGAAGGACGGCAGUGGCUCCUAGCUCUGGCGGAUGUGGGGGAUGGCAGUGCUCGUGCAAGCUAGGAAGAGUGGCGGUGUGAGGCAGGGCAAUAGCAGGGGCACAAUCUCGACUUUUAUAUGUGCGUGGGUCCGCGCCUGCCUUGGCACGCAUGCCGAGGUUCGGCGGUGGCGAUGCCCAAGUGCAGCUACGCUUGGCCUCGACCCGCUGUUGGUCGAUGGGCCUAGCGGGCCUAGCCGAGCCAUCAACUGGGCCGGGUCAGUGCAGGUUAGUUGGAGAGGGUCGGGCCCCAAAGACUUGGCCCCAUCGAUUAGGAUUUUUCUUUUUUUCAGAAAUGAUUUCUCGUGAAAGAAAAAUCCAGAAAAAUUCUAGAUAAUUAAUUUAAACAAUGAAAAAACUCUAAAAAUCCAAAAAUUUCAGGAAAAAUCAUCUCUAGUUUGGGACAUGAGGAGUCCAAAUAAAAUACUUGGACCUCGUGAAAAGGAUUCUAGAACCUUCCAAAAAUUGGAUUUAGCUUUAGAAAAAAAUGAGAAUAAAUCUUAGAAAAAUCUGAAAAUUCUCAUAAGAACCUAAUCAGCAUCUAAACGCAUUCCAAAACCUUUGCACUUAUGAAAUACCAAGAUGCAUUGGUGUGAAUGCAACCCAUACACAAUCAUUAUAUUUAAUUCAGAAAAACACUCAAUUGUUUUCCUAUACUAAAUUUCCUCUUAAGAAAAUAAAUGUUGGAAAAAUUUUAAAAUUGUGAAAAAAUUAUUGUUUAAUUAUUCUUUUUAAUCAAAUCCUGAAAUUUCAAAAAUUUUAAGGUGAGGCAGAUACCCUCAGGUUUACAGAAUUUGACAUCCAUGUGCAAAUUGGAUCUAUCCUUCCAUGAUCUACAAGGUGAAGUGCCAAAAGUUUUUUUUUGGCAAAUGCAACUUACAUGUCGAUUUAUGGAAAUGAUCAGCUUUGUGGUGGAAAUACCUCAACUUCAUUUAACUCCAUGCUCCAUGUCCAGUGCAAAAAAGAAAAAAAAGGAAAUUUGUCGAAAACCCUUGUGAUCACCCUAACAUCAAUCGGUGCAGUUGUAUUCUCAGUUUCAGUACUUACUGUAAUUGUGUUGAUCUGUAAGAAGCUUAGGAAAAGGCACGAAAGUCAACUCAUAUCCACAACUGAGGAACGGUAUGAAAGAGUUUCUUAUCAUGCUUUGUCAAAUGGGACCAAUGGAUUUUCAGAGGACAAUUUACUUGGACAAGGAAGCUAUGGCAUGGUUUAUAAAUGUACUUUACAUGACCAGGGCACUACAGUAGGCUACUGUAAAGGUGUUUAACACACAACAAUCUGGGACUUCUAGAAGUUUUGUCGCUGAAUGCGAGGCACUCAGAAGGGUGCGUCCUCGUUGUCUCGUAAAGAUCAUCACUUGUUGCUCAAGCAUCAAUCACCAGGGUCAAGAGUUCAAGGCACUAGUUUUUGAGCUCAUGCCAAAUGGUAGCCUAAAUGGUUGGCUUCACCCAGAGUCUGACACACUUACCCAGACAAAUACCCUUAGCCUUGAACAAAGGCUACACAUUGCUGUCGAUAUCCUGGAUGCUUUGGACUAUCUUCAUAAUCACUGUCAGCCAUCAAUCAUUCAUUGCGAUCUCAAGCCAAGCAACAUCUUUCUUGCGGAGGACGUGAGUGAGUGCCCGAGUUGGAGGUUUUGGCAUACGAAGAAUCCUUCCAGAAAGUGCUAGUAAAACCCUGCAAAAUUCGAAUAGCACAACUGGAAUAAGAGGCACCAUUGGUUAUGUUGCACCAGGUAAUGAAAGAGAUAUUUUUGGUAUUUGUAAAAUGUUCUUAGUUCUUACGUAUACAUGACCUGCUGACCUUUGGAUUUUUUCCCCAAUCAGAGUACGGUGAAGGUUCUUCUGUCUCAACUCAAGGUGAUGUUUAUAGCCUCGGCAUAUUGCUGCUUGAGAUGUUUACUGGAAGGAACCCAACAGAUGAGAUAUUCAAUGAUUCUUUGGAUUUGCACAAGUUUUCAGAGAAUGCUCUUCCAGAGAGAAUAUGGGAUAUAGUUGAUCCGACAAUACGGAUGCACACAGAUGCCUAUAACAGCACUAUAAGAAGUGGAAUUAAGAAUUGCUUGGUUUAUGUUGUUUCUCUUGGAAUAUCAUGCUCGGAGAAACAACCUAGGGAGCGGAUCCCGAUUCUGGAUGCAGCCAUUGAGAUGCACGCUAUUAGAGAUUCGUAUCUCAAGUUUGCCAGAUCUCUUUUGGUGGAGCAUGGAGUAGUAGCAACAACUCACAGUGAUUUUCCACAACAGUGAAUACAUAGGACUGAAAAUGCGCAAGAUGUCUGCAGAUGAUCAGUUUACCUGAAAUAACUGAAGAUGUAUGAAGCUUCAGCUUUAUAAUUUGUCCAUGCAUUUGUUUGCAUCAGAUAUAUGGAAGUAUAAAAUAAGUUUAGAAAAUGUUUCAAAAUAGAUUAGAUCCAGAGGUUUUAGUUGUCGUUUGUAUGACACAUUUUUGUAGAGAAUUCAGUAAUAUGUAUGAUUCAUAAUACAAUCAAUGCUCUGCAAAUUUCAGAUAGCACAAUUGGAAUAAAAAGCUCAUUCCUUGAUUAUGUUUCUCUAGGUAACUCAACUUAUUGUGAUGUUCACUGUAGAUUUCUCCAUGGUCCAAACGACCUUUGUGAUCAGUUAUGUUUAUGCAUUUUGUAGAAUUGUAAAGUCUUUCCCUAACCUGCUGACAUAUUAGCCGGAGCAUAGCACUUUGCCGUUCUGUACCACUCGCCUCUAGGAGGCGCUUGCCGCUUGGUGGCUGCCGUGGCGACCGACGGCAUCCGUACCUGCUCUGUCGGAGAUGGGUGGAGCUGCUCUGCUCUGCCGGUACGAGCUCACUCGCGCCGUGAAUGGCGCGCGCCUCUAAGGUCUCAUCAGCUGCAGGUGCAGAUGGGUGGAGAGCUUAGCGGCGCUAGGUCUUCAGAAGAUGGGGCUUUGCAGCUCUGAAUGGUGAGGCGGGCAGGGACGACGGAGCUGGACGCGUGGGGAGGAGACGAUGGGCAUUUCUGAUAAUAGUUGGAUCGCGAUCCAAAUUAGGGGGCUAUUUACAAAUAAUAGGGGGUAUUCCGUAAAUAUUCGGAUCGCGAUCAUUAAUCGCGAUCCAAAUGAGGGGUUAAUUGAAAUUAUGAUGGGGUGUCUUUUGAAAUUCCGGAUCGCGAUCCCAUCCUCCGCCGCGGCUCGCCGGAGCGCCGCCAGACGCCGGCCAUCCCUUGGGGUACCUCUUCUUCCUUCCGCUUGUCGGAGCCCUAAGACGUGGUCGGUGUUUGAUCUGACAAGGAACCUUGAAGUCCGGACUAACUGAAGAAGACAGACAUGAUGCUGACCUGGAAGACGACGGCCUCGCCAUGGCUGGAUGCGGCGCGGUGGAAGGACAGUGUGGUGGAGGGCGUGGUCCACCACAUUCCGUCGACGGGCGGCGCACUUGCUGUCGCCUGUCGGCUACUUCCAGGCCGUAGCUGAGCUUCAGAGUUCAGACAGGGUGCUUGUGCUUGCAACAAGUUCAGAACGAUGUCAUUAAUUUGAUGCAGAGGAUGGAGCAAACCGGUUGCAAAUUGGAUUCUGAUACAUAUAACUUAAUAUUGAACCUUUAUGUCGAUUGGAAAUAUGAGAAGGGGUGCACCAAAUAUGGGAUGAGAUGGAGAGGAGUGGAUCAGGCCCAGAUCAACGAUCAUUUACUAUUAUGGUUCAUGGUCUUCAUUCCCAAGGAAAGCUUGAUGAGGCUCAACAAUGAAGUCAAGAGGGUUGAUCCCUGAACCAAGGACCAAGAUACUGGUGAAAGCUAUACAUAUGAAGAAAGAUGGGGCUGUCACAGAAGAUCAGUCUGCAAAUAUGACAGGGAAGAAUCUAAAACUGGAUCCACGAUCUAGACUAUUCCAUGUUCAUAAAUAGUUUGCUGUCAGAUCUUACUUCUAUAACCUGAACAGAGGAUUGCUGGGCACGUAUUAUGUGUCAAAAGAAUAUCUUCUACCAGUGUCCAGAUCACAAUGGCCACACCUUGGGCUACAAUAAAUCAUCAGCAAAGUGUAUUGGCAUUAUGUAUCCCAGAAAGUUUUGCUCAGACUUUCAAUGCCAGGGUAUGCUUUUUAUGUCUGAUACGGAUCAAUUGCCAGUACUGUAUUACACCGCUCGUAUUAUGAAGGUUAUGUGAAAUAUGACAGAUGUUUGUUUAUUCAUCUGUUAUGCAUGGCUGUGUCUACUGUCUAGUUCUUGGCUUGUUGCCAACAUAUGCAGCAGCAGGUAGCUUCAGCCGCUCAGAAGCCCAAAUGAAGGAUGGCCCAGGCAGAAUAGCUAUGUCUAGACCCAGAAAGCUUAGGACAUGUCUUGCCAGCCUGCAGUUUUGUACUCGUAGCACCAACCAUCUCCGGGUUCUGGCCGGUUAUAUACAUGAUCUGGAAUGGGCAUCCGCUGAUCGAUUGAAACCUUGAGUUGCUUCCGUGUGUCUUUUGCCAUCUAUAUAUUAUGGUUAGUCAACGGCAUGCAGUACACCCAUGCAUAUGAUUGCAGUAGGAUGACAUGGCGCGACCAGAACCCUUCUUUUGCCAGUUUUAGAUUCUUAUACACGGCCAACUGACGCAGCAGGGAGUGGCAUGCUAAGCAGUUCAGCGUAGGUGGUGUGUUCUUAACUCUGAUAUGGCUUAUGGAAGAACACUGUCACGGUGUCACUGUCCAACCUCUUACUAGGGACAGCAAUGGCCCUGUCCACUGUUUCGUGGCUGGUAUUAUUACCCCUAUGCAGUGAAUCUGACAUGUGGAUCUAUGUGUAUAUUAUGUCGUCAAAAGAACAUUAUUUGAACUCUAUUUGUGGCGCCACCUUUGAUUCUAUUAAUGUGUCAUGGUCAAUUGAUGUCAAACUCUAUUAUCUUCAAGUCUUAUUGUAUUGAUAAAAUCACGAUGCUGCUACUGCCAUUUUGAUGUUUAUAAAAGGGUAUUGAGAACCUGGUGGGUAUCCAUUCGAUGCGCAGGGGUGGGGGUGGGGAAAAAUGAGUGUAAAGGAUAGGGAUACAGUAUUUAGAAAGAUGGGGCUGCCACAGAAGAUAGUCUCCAAGUAUGGCAGGGAAGAAUCUAAAAACUGAUUCCUUGAUCAAGACUGUCCCAUAUUCAUAAAUAGUUCACUGACAGAUCUUGCUUGCAUAUUCUGAACAGCUGAUGCUGGGCACAUAGGAGGUUAACCGGUCAGCGGAUCGAAGGAAAAAAAAAUCUUGCCUGUCAGUGUCCACAAUGGCCUCAUCUUGGGUUAGAGACAAUCAUCCCUAAAGAAUCAUAUUGCCGGAUAAGGUUAUCUGUGAUUGGUGGGUGCAGAUCCAUGCUCAUCCUAGAAACAAGCCAGGGCUAAAUGCGCCACUCAUUUUAGAUGCUUGGAUGUUGUGGUCACACCGAAAUGAUCGUGUGUUUAAUGGAGUUUCCCAUAGUGACUAGCGUGCAGGCUGUCCUCGUAUUCGAGAAAAAAAAAAUCAAUGGGCGAAAUAUUUUCACCCAGGUAAUUGUUGCAUUGUAUGAAUAGGUUAGAGUAUGAAUGUGCGUGUACUGUGACACAAGAAGAUUUAUCAUAUCCAUAUAUGAAUUAGUGUUAAAUUUGCUACAUAAAUAUCUUCUCUUAUCUCAUUGUAUGUGUAUAUAUGACACAGAAGCACAUGUAUAUCGGCAUUGUAGAGAGAGAGAUGAGAGAGAGAAGCUUAUCUGCUUUUUGGAGAUAAAUAUUCAAAUUACUGGUGUAUGAGAGGGAUAUAAUUAUUCUAUUAAAUUGUUUAUUCAACAUCUAAAAAGAUUCCAAUGUUUAGUCAUCUAUAUAGGCAUUGUAGAGAGAGAGACUAGUGUUCAGCUGGUUGGAAGGAUGAGAGAGAGGAGAGAGUUCAGAUGAGAAAGAGACUAGUGUUUAGCUGGUUGGAAGGAUGAGAGAGAGAGAUAGAGUAGAGUUUGGAUGAUAGAGAGAUUAGUGUUCACCUGGUUGGAAGGAUGAGAGGGAGAUGAGAGAGUUCAGAUGAGGAGGUGGAGAGUUUGGAAGAGAGAGAGAGAGGUGAGAGUUUGGAUGAGAGAGAAAGCAGCUAAGAAGGAUGAGAGAGAGAAAGCGGUAUUCAGCUGGAUGGUGGAGACUUCAUAUAUUACUUAGCGUUGCUACGGCGAAACGACGUUGCUUAGCGCGCGAUGUUUUUAUCGUGUCGUGUAGCGCACCACAUUUUUUAUCGUGUUGUGUAACUUUUUUAUUUUAGUAGUAUUAGACUUUUCAUACAUAAGGGGCCACGUGAGUGUGUCCAUAUCCCAACCGUGCGGAGACCGCUUGUCAUUGAAUUUGUUAUCUCUUGCUCUAUCUUGUGAUUGGUAGGCUUCUACAGCAAUUCUGCACAAAGAAGGCCCCACUUCGCCCCACUCCUGACGUCCGGUUAUUCCCACGCCUGCCCUCUCCCUCUCCAAUCCUCACCGCCAGCUCCUCAGGGUCUAGGUCGGCCCGUGAUGUAGUGGCCUAUUAUCCUUCCACCGUUGGAAGCGAGCAGUGAUCGCUGCUCUGUGAACCUAGCCUCAAGCUGUUCCUACCACUUCAGGUCCAGUGAUGCCCGAGCUUUCGCUUGGCCCGAACAGGCCACUACCAACUUGGAACGGGCAAGGCCAGCAAGGGCACAGAAUAGACCCAAGCCCAGAGUCCGCGCCCAACCAUCCACACCACCUUAAUGCCCCCACUUGGGUUACAAGCCCGCGCAACCAAGCUCGGUGAGGAUGGCUCGUGAGGACGAACAUUUAAGCUGGUGCGUUGCUGCUUCAGAUGGCGAGGUGAUACUAAUAUAACGAAUAGGAAAAUUUCACGUGGGUCCCAUGCCGCACCCACCCCUAUCCUUAUCCUUUCUCAUCUCUCUACUGUCUGUCCGGUCCUUAUCCUCCUCAUCUCAUCUCUCUCUCUCAAUCCCUCUCUCUCAAACUCUCUAUCUCUCCUAUCCCCUCUUUCUCUGGAGAACGCGGUGCACGGCCAGCCCCAGCGGCGGCCUGGAGGCGCGAGGUGCCGCCGGCGGCCGAGGGUUGCGGGGCUGCGGCAAGGAGCCUCCUGGCUGUGGAUGCGACGGCCUAGCCACGGGUGCCGGGCCGCGUCACACCGCGCGCUGCUGCCGUCGAGCGGGCCGCACGCACUGCCCACACACCAGGCGGCGUGGGCGGCCAGGCUGAGCGGCGCGGCCGGGGCUGGGGAGGCGACUCUGGUGCGGCCGAGGUAGCUUGGGCACGGCCGGCUGUGGUGGGUAGGGAGAGGUGGACGGCGGCACAACGGCAGCGCGGAGAGGCGGACGUCAGGCACGAACGGGUGAAAGGGGAGACUGGGAAAGAAAGCUGGACCCACCUAUCAAUGCAGCCGGGGCCGGGGCAGCGCGGGCGGCUGAGGCCGAGGCCAGGCGGCGCGGUCGGGGCCAGGGAGGCGGCUCUGGUGCAGCCAGCCGUGGCUGGCAGGGAGAGGCGGACAACAGCGCAACGGCGGCAUGGAGAGGUGGACGUCAGGCACGGGUGGGUGAAAGGGGAGACGGGGAAAGAAAGCUAGACCCACCUGUCAAUGCGUUAAUCUUACCUAUUAUUAAACAUCAGGGCCACCUCUCAUUGAUAGAAGUUGGACCAAACCAAAAAAAAGUGGGCAGAAGUGUUCCUCACUUUAAUAGUAACAAUAAAGUAUAGAUAAUGCAUCCAAACAACAUUUGGAAUUUAAUUCUAAGAAAAACAAAAUAUGAUUCAUGGAAUGAGUUUCAACUCUAGGAAUCCAAACAGGCCUUAGUUAUUUCUUAUGUAGCUCAAAUCAGAUGCAAGGUACGUCCUAACUUAAAAAACGUAAGUUACUUUGUGUUAUCUUGUGAAUCAGUGAUUAAUUACUUCCAAUCUUAUGUAAAAAGAACUACGAGUUAAAUUCUUUGUCAGAUUUAUACUGACAAGUUACAAGCACAUACCUCUGCAGUAACAGGCGAGCCCUAGACUAGUGGGCAAACCAAAAACAACAUGAUUCGUCAACUGAUCGAAUGCUAAUGACUAUUUUGCUAGGAGAAUGAACAUGAUUCAUGAAAAAAAGGGAGCUACUAACUUGGUCAAGGUCUCCGUCCUCUAGCGUGGGGAAGGGGCCAUCUUGCUCCACGCCACGUCUGCGUGGUUGCUCGGCGGGCGCGACGGCGUCGGCUGCGGAGUGCGGACGGCGCGUAGAUAUGUCAUUGUUGAUCAGGACAUGCACUGCUAUCACCGUCUGUUAUUGGUCAAGGUCUCCGUCCUCUAGCGUGGGGAAGGGGCCAUCUUGCUCCACUCCACGUCUGCGUGGUUGCUCGGCAGGCGCGACGGCGUUGGCUGCGGAGUGCGGACGACGCGUAGAUAUGUCAUUGUUGAUCAGGACAUGCACUUCUAUCACCGUCUGUGGUUGGCGUCCGCGGCCGAGCGGGUCAAGGUCUCCGUCCUCUAGCGUGGGGAAACAGGAUCUCUUCAAUCAGUGCUUCUACAGAAACGGUGCACGGUCACCACGGACCAACGACAUACCAUGAGAAAAGCAGAGCGAAAUGUUGCAGUAGCAGAGUGACCGGAGACUGGAGAGCACUUGCUGCUAAAAGCUGCCUCUUAUUUUGUAUCGUCUUAACAGAAGACUUUAAGUCAACCGCCAUUCGAUUCCAAUAUAAACUAGCAAGUUGGCCCGCGAUAAUACUGCGGCUAGAUUUGAUACAGUAUAAUUUUUUUAAAUACUAUGUUAGCUUAGUAUAUUUCUUUGUCCCUCUUGAUUUGUUUUUCAUCCUCUUGAAAUCACUGAGUAUAGUUAGGUGCCUUACUCUACACAUUGAGUAUCAAGCCAUAUGUGUAUAUUUGUUUUUUUGCAAAUGAACUCCGAUGCCACAUGUGCAUAUGCACGCCUAAUUAAAAUUGCUCACUUGUAACAAAAUAAGAACAACUUGAGUAGUUGAUUCUGAUCUUAUGUUGAAGUUUUUGCCAACUUUUCCUAGUAUUGUUGUGUUGAGUAGAAAGCCUGUGUAGAGAAAGAUACAAAACAAACGAUCGUGUCAACUACUCCCCAUGCUUGCUCAAAUGAUUUUGAAAAAAAAAAACAACCGCGCUCUAAGUCCUAGGGCGGUGAUAUUCCUCCUUACUUUCCUCCUCUUGUUUUCCAUGCACAAUCGAGGAUGACAAAUACCACAAACCACUUAGGCUCGAUCAUGUUUCAUCAUCACAUUCCUCAAAUCUUGAUCACGUUGUUGUCUUCAUUAUGCUAGCAGUACACAUCUCUCCGCCUCUUCUAUUCCACAAAACCAUAAUUGUUCACCGGCUCCAGCAUUGUUGUUGCUCUCCACCAAUCGAGGAAGCUCUUGUCCUUGACAUCACCUUAUCCACUGACCAGCUGAAGUUAUCUGUACAUCCAAAGGUCUCAUAAGAUUUUUGCUGGAUUUGCAUUAAUAUUAAUAUUGCCACCAAUCUAGUCUCAACCUCGCCUUGUGUUCUCCGUGGUCAUUUUUUAUUCUAACUUGCAAGCUCCACAACUACAUAUGAUGGUUCUUCUAUAUACAUAAUAUAUCGCAUCUUCUAAGACAUAUAUCGCGGGCCGGCGGCGCGCGGGGGAGCGGCGCCGGUGGAGCGGAGGCGACCGGUGGUGGGCGGAAGCGGGUGGGCGCGAGCGCGGGUGGAGGCGGAAGAGCGUGCAGGCGGAGGCGGAUGGGUGGAGGCGUGCAGCGGCGGCGGGCGCGGGCGUGUGGCAGCAAGGCCGGCGGCGCGGGGAGGCGGAGACCGGUGGCGGCCAGCCGGCGAGCGUGGGGAUUCUUUUUAUUUUUUUCGAAAUUUUUUAGUCCCGAUUAGUGGUUGGUAACCCAACCGGGACUAAAGGGGACCUUUAAUUCCGGGUGGAUGACCCGGGACUAAAAAUCUCCUCUUUUGUCAAGCCAUCACUAUUGUCCAUAUCACAACGCCUGUGCCUUCUCUUGUUGUCCUCCCCCUUCCCUCUACCUUGCACCUUCUGUUUUCCUGAUCCUAUUGCCAGUUUGUUGCAGCCAUUUAUGGGCACCUCUUUCAUCCAUUGUCCACUGUUGUUGCCCGCUGCUUCAGUUCUUCUCUGACCAAAGCGGUCGUAUCGCGCUGGCCGGUAGGAAGCCAUCAUCUCGCAAAAGCGUCAUCGUCGUCGCCAAACCACAUCUAGCCGAUGCCGAACCAUACUUGCCAUCUUCUUUGCCAAUUUGCCGCUAUGGAAGCCUCCAUGCAUCGCUCAUCAAGUCUAUCCUAUCUCUAUCAGCUCCUGUGGUAUCCUGUUUUGUUUUUGCCUCAACCACGAAGCCAUAGGUUGCUGGUGCUAAAUUGCAGGGCUAGCAACAGGUAUUUCCUCUCCCUGGCCUUGCGGCCAUGCUAUGUAUUUUUCUCUUUAAAAAAAUUACAAUGAUUUAAUCCUAAUGUUCCGAUCAUGUGUGAUUGGUUUAUUAAUUAAAGUUAGAGUUAUACUUGAGUAUAUUAUAUAAAAAUAAUAUAUAUAUAUAUAUAUAUAUAUAUAUAUAUAUAUAUAAGUUACCAUACAAAGUACAACUUCCUACAAGGUGGAGAGGUUCGGAUGGAAUUUUGAUUCAACUUACUCUAUUCUAGAUAUUAGAGUUGUACUAGCAAAAUAUGCUAGUAUGUUGCUACGGUAAAAGAUCAAUUGUGUUUUUCAAAUUAAUAAUAUUUUUUAUUUUCAUAACUAAAUUUUUAUUCCACUUAUUGGAUGUCCACACAUUUAAUAGAAAACUAAAAGAAUUUUUUAUUCAAGCAAGAUAGUUAAAUCAGCCUCCGAUGGCCACCGACGGGGGCUCUUUAGGACUCCUUUAGCCCCGGUUGUAAAGCUAGUGGUCCUCGGGAUUCUGGUGAGGCGUUUUGUCCCGGUUGUAACUACCAACCGAGACUAAAGGGGGGGCCUUUAGUCCCGAUCAGUGUUUCCAACACAGACAAAAUGCUCCUCACCUCCACAUACACAAUGCGCGUGCCCCAAUUUCUCUCCUCCCUCCCCUUAAUUCCAGCGGCCAGGCCUCCUCUCCUUAAUUCCAACACCCACAUGCCUCCUCUCCUCCUCCCUUCACCCCCUACCUCCUCUCCUCCCUCUCUCUCUCUCCUCCGCCGGAUCCGGCCGGCCCCCACUCCCUCUCCCCAAGCUCCUCCCUCUCCCUCGGCCGAGGCGGGUGGCGCAGCCGGGGCCAGGGCGGCGUGGGUGGCCAGGGUCGGGGCCAGGGAGGAUGAUAGGUGGUUAUGAGGAUGAUACCUGCAGAUAAUACUUUUAAUCUCAAUUCUUACAGAAGAAUUGCACUAUGAACUACGCUUUCAUUUAUACCACACCGCUCAGCUAUAAAAAAUGGUGCAAAUCGACCAAAAUAAAUGAAUAAAUCACAUGGUUUAGACUGGUGGCAUAUGUAUGUUUGAUGAGUUUUGAAUCCCAACAGACCUCUGUUUGCUUAUCCAACCGGAGGAAAAACCUUUACUUACUAAAUCAGCUUUGCAUGCCAGGCUGCAAUUGUUAGAGCAGAAUUAGGUAAUUUGUGAACAUAAUUGAAUCAAAGUUUUGUCUCUGACAAGUAAUAGAAAAUGGUAAUGCUCCAUAGCAAGAACACGUUCCUACACUAGUUUAAAAAAUUCCCUGAAAUUGGGAACAAUGGUCAAGUCCAAACCAUACUUGCAACUUGGAGGACCGCUGGCCGAUGUAAGUCAAAGUCAAAAACAGAAGGAGACAGCGACGUCUCACCAGAUCACGAAUCAGAUGCGAUGCAUGUGCAUGUUCAGCAAGACAUUGAAAAGCAAGCUCUUCAAUACGCUCCAGCCCAGCUCCACCAUGGCUUUGGCAAUGCGCGUCAUGAGCUUGCUUCCUGCCACCAUCGCCGUGAUGAUCGCAGUGGCCUCUUGGGGAGCGCACGGCGGUGCCAGCGACGAGGCCAGCGCGCUGCUUGCUUUCAAGGCUCAGCUCGCCGGCAGCGGUUCCGGCAUGCUUGCAUCCUGGAAUGGCACCGCUGGCGUCUGCGGCUGGGAGGGCGUGGCGUGCACCGGCGGCCAGGUAGUGGCACUGAGCCUGCCCUCCUAUGGGCUCGCCGGAGCCCUCUCCCCGGCCAUUGGGAACCUCACUUUCCUGCGGACCCUGAACCUGAGUUCCAACUGGUUCCAGGGGGAGGUCCCAGCAAGCAUCGGCCGCCUAGCGAGUCUGCAGACGCUUGAUCUGAGCUACAAUACGUUCUCUGGUACGCUUCCUUCCAACCUCAGUGCCUGUGUCAGCUUACUGCUGUUGAGGCUCAGUAGUAACCGGUUCCAUGGGCGUAUCCCUGUUGAGCUUGGAGACAAGCUAACAAGUCUUCAGAUGUUGUCACUGCGCAACAACAGCUUGACGGGUGCCAUACCAGGAUCACUAGGUAACCUGUCAUCCCUGAUCUACCUUCAUCUGACAGAAAACCACCUCGAGGGUCCGAUCCCACAUGAACUUGGCAGCAUGGGCGGCCUGCAGGUCCUUUUCCUCUAUGAGAACAGACUCUCCGGUGUGCUUCCACACUCCCUGUACAAUCUGUCCUCACUGAAAAGCUUGUGGGUAGGAUACAACAUGCUGUCUGGAACCAUCCCUGCUGAUAUCGGCGAUAGGUUCCCCGGUAUGGAAGCUCUUGACUUUUCUAGCAACCGAUUCAGUGGAGCUAUCCCACCUUCGCUCGCCAACCUCUCUGCUCUCACAAAACUAGUCCUUCAAGGAAAUGAUUUUAUUGGAUAUGUGCCUUCUGCUUUGGGGAAGUUAAGUCUUACUGCCCUUUACUUGGGUGACAACAGGCUAGAAGCAAACGACAGUCAAGGGUGGGAAUUCAUAGCUUCACUGGCAAACAGCUCCCAGCUUCAGCUUCUUGUUCUCGGCAACAACUCUUUCAGCGGGCAACUGCCUAAUUCAGUCACAAACCUGUCAUCAACUCUGCAAGGUCUUUAUUUGGGACCCAAUAUGAUUUCUGGGAAUAUUCCAAUAAACAUCGGAAAUUUGGUUGGUCUUACAGUACUUGAGAUGGCAAAUACUUUUGUAUCUGGACAGAUUCCAGAGAGCAUUGGUCAGCUAAGAAACUUGGUUCAGCUAGCCCUUUACAACACUAGCUUGUCAGGCCUCAUACCUUCAUCACUAGGAAAUCUUACACAGUUGAAUAGCCUUUUAGCAUACUAUGGAAACUUAGAGGGGCCAAUUCCAUCAAACUUGGGGAACUUAAAGAAUGUGUUUUCCUUUGAUCUCUCAACAAAUCGACUCAAUGGUUCAAUUCCUAUAGAGGUUUUAAAACUUCCUCGACUUUCCUGGUACUUAGACUUAUCAUAUAAUUCAUUAUCCGGGCCACUUCCAACUGAGGUUGGUACCAUGGUGAAUCUUAACGAACUGAUUCUGUCUGGAAACAAGUUGUCAGGCACCAUACCAGCUAGUGUUGGGAACUGUAUAUCGUUGGUACGGCUGCUGCUCGAUAACAACUUAUUAGAAGGAAGCAUACCGCAAUCUCUGAAGAACUUAAAAGGUCUUGAAUUACUGAACCUAACAAUGAAUAAGCUAUCUGGUAGUAUUCCUGAUGCCCUUGCUAGCAUUGGCAACCUGCAACAACUGUAUCUUGCACACAACAACUUGUCAGGUUCCAUCCCCAAAGUUCUACAGAAUUUGACAUUGUUGGCAAAACUGGAUUUGUCCUUCAAUGAUCUGCAAGGCGAAGUGCCAAAAGGGGGUCCUUUUGCAAAUGCAACUCGCUUGUCACUUGAUGGAAAUGAUGAGCUUUGUGGCGGAAACCCUCAACUUCAUUUAGCUCCGUGCUCCACAGCUGCUGCGAGGAAGAACAGAAGGCGAAUGUCAAGAUCACUUAUGGUCACCGUUGCGUCAAUCUGCGCAUUUCUAUUCUUAGGUUUAAUAGUUUGUCUUAUCCAUUUGAUCCACAAGAGGCUCAGACAAGGAAAGGAAAAUCAACUCAUUCCCACAGCAAUUGAUGAACAGCACCAAAGGGUUUCAUAUCAAGCAUUAGCAAAUGGGACUGACCAUUUUUCGGAGGUUAAUCUGCUCGGACAAGGAAGCUAUGGUGCAGUUUAUAAGUGCACUUUACAUGACAAGGGAAUUACCGCAGCUGUAAAGGUAUUCAACGUACGGCAAUCUAGGUCUACUAGAAGUUUUGUGGCUGAAUGUGAGGCACUGCGAAGGGUGCGCCACCGAUGUCUCAUAAAGAUCAUCACCUGUUGCUUAAGCAUUGAUCACCAAGGCCAAGAAUUCAAGGCACUGGUUUUUGAGUUCAUGCCCAAUGGUAACCUAAAUGAUUGGCUGCAUCCAGCAUCCAAGAUACAGAGUCUGAGCAAUACGCUCAGCUUAGCUCAGAGACUGAACAUUGCGGUAGAUAUCAUGGAUGCUCUGGAUUAUCUUCACAAUCAGUGUCAACCGCCUAUUAUCCAUUGUGAUCUCAAACCAAGUAACAUCCUCCUUGCCGAAGAUAUGAGUGCUCGGGUUGGAGAUUUCGGCAUAUCAAAAAUCCUUCCUGAAGACACUAGCAAAACUCUGCUGAAUUCAGUUAGCUUCACUGGACUAAGAGGUUCCAUCGGAUAUGUCGCUCCAGGUAACAGAAACUAACACUGAUAUUGCUAUGUUCAGUUUUUAACUUCCAUUUUGCCAAGUCCAGUUAUCUCGGCAUGCACGUUGAUAAGUAGCUUGCCAUGAAUCCACUGACCAAAUAGUGUCUGAAAUCUGAAUUGACUGCAGAGUACGGCGAGGGUCGCGCUGUCUCAACUCUUGGAGAUGUUUACAGCCUCGGCAUACUGUUGCUUGAGAUGUUCACCGGGAUGAGCCCUACUGACGACAUGUUCAAAGGCUCCUUGGACCUUCAUAAGUUCGCCGAGGCCGCUCUCCCCGACAGAGCCUUGGAGGUAGCCGACCCGGCAAUCUGGUUUCAUGAAGAAGCAAAGGGGGAAAACCCUGCCACGGUGAGAAGCAGAAGCGAGAGGUGCUUG
rnacentral:lncRNA from 1 species